AAUGAAGGUAUCAACGUGUAUUUUCUAGACAGAGAGGUCCGGGAAAACCACUGAACCACUUUCGUGCUUUGGAUUUUGAACUGAAACUGUUCAUAUGAAU
rnacentral:rRNA from 1 species